GAAACAUCUAAGUACCCCGAGGAAAAGAAAUCAACCGAGAUUCCCCCAGUAGCGGCGAGCGAACGGGGAGGAGCCCAGAGCCUGAAUCAGCAUGUGUGUUAGUGGAAGCGUCUGGAAAGGCGCGCGAUACAGGGUGACAGCCCCGUACACAAAAGCGCAUGUGCUGUGAGCUCGAUGAGUAGGGCGGGACACGUGGUAUCCUGUCUGAAUAUGGGGGGACCAUCCUCCAAGGCUAAAUACUCCUGACUGACCGAUAGUGAACCAGUACCGUGAGGGAAAGGCGAAAAGAACCCCGGCGAGGGGAGUGAAAAAGAACCUGAAACCGUGUACGUACAAGCAGUGGGAGCACCCUUUGGGGUGUGACUGCGUACCUUUUGUAU
rnacentral:rRNA from 1 species